rnacentral:rRNA from 1 species
GGGCCCGCACAAGCGGAGGAACAUGUGGUUUAAUUCGAUGAUACGCGAGGAACCUUACCCGGGCUCGAACGGCUAUUGAAUGUUGCAGAGAUGUAACAGUUCGCAAGAACAGUAGUCGAGGUGCUGCAUGGUUGUCGUCAGCUCGUGCCGUGAGGUGUCGGCUUAAGUGCCAUAACGAGCGCAACCCUUGUCGUUAGUUGCCAGCGAGUAAUGUCGGGAACUCUAACGAGACUGCCACCGUAAGGUGUGAGGAAGGGGGGGAUGACGUCAAAUCAGCACGGCCCUUACGUCCGGGGCGACACACGUGUUACAAUGGGAGGUACAGAGGGCAGCUACUAUGCGAAUAGAUGCAAAUCUCGAAAACCUCUCUCAGUUCGGAUUGGAGUCUGAACUCGACUCCAUGAAGUUGGAUUCGCUAGUAAUCGCGCAUCAGCCAUGGCG